UACAGAGGUCUCAAGCGUUGUUCGGAUUCAUUGGGCGUAAAGGGUGCGUAGGCGGCGCGGUAAGUCGGGUGUGAAAUCUCGGAGCUUAACUCCGAAACUGCAUUCGAUACUGCCGUGCUUGAGGACUGGAGAGGAGACUGGAAUUUACGGUGUAGCGGUGAAAUGUGUAGAGAUCGGGAGGAACACCGGUGGCGAAGGCGGGUCUCUGGGCAAUUCCUGACGCUGAGGCGCGAAAGCGUGGGGAGCAAACGGG
rnacentral:rRNA from 1 species